GCAGUCGAGCGGGCGUAGCAAUACGUCAGCGGCAGACGGGUGAGUAACGCGUGGGAACGUACCUUUUGGUUCGGAACAACACAGGGAAACUUGUGCUAAUACCGGAUAAGCCCUUACGGGGAAAGAUUUAUCGCCGAAAGAUCGGCCCGCGUCUGAUUAGCUAGUUGGUGAGGUAAUGGCUCACCAAGGCGACGAUCAGUAGCUGGUCUGAGAGGAUGAUCAGCCACAUUGGGACUGAGACACGGCCCAAACUCCUACGGGAGGCAGCAGUGGGGAAUAUUGGACAAUGGGGGCAACCCUGAUCCAGCCAUGCCGCGUGAGUGAUGAAGGCCCUAGGGUUGUAAAGCUCUUUUGUGCGGGAAGAUAAUGACGGUACCGCAAGAAUAAGCCCCGGCUAACUUCGUGCCAGCAGCCGCGGUAAUACGAAGGGGGCUAGCGUUGCUCGGAAUCACUGGGCGUAAAGGGUGCGUAGGCGGGUCUUUAAGUCAGGGGUGAAAUCCUGGAGCUCAACUCCAGAACUGCCUUUGAUACUGAAGAUCUUGAGUUCGGGAGAGGUGAGUGGAACUGCGAGUGUAGAGGUGAAAUUCGUAGAUAUUCGCAAGAACACCAGUGGCGAAGGCGGCUCACUG
rnacentral:rRNA from 1 species